rnacentral:misc_RNA from 1 species
AGGAGCCGUAUGAAUCGAGAGGUUCACGUACGGAGUCUGUGAGAAGCUGGGGGUGAAAUGGGACUGUAAGGGACUGUAAAUUAAACUGUAUAAUUGUGAAAUCCUCCGGCUUACUCGAC